AAUGAUGGAGGUGCAGGCAUUUCCUGAGGAUUAAUGACCAGCUGGGAGGAACCAGUGGCCCUUGGCUCUGCCUCUCAGCCAGCCAUUAAUUCCAAGGAAAUGUCUUUUGCUGAGGUCGUU
rnacentral:pre_miRNA from 1 species